AAGAUUCUAGUAUAACAAAUACAUGACCCUGUCAACAUCAAAAUAUAGAAACCCCUAUGGAUCUUA
rnacentral:tRNA from 1 species